GACGAACGCUGGCGGCGUGCUUAACACAUGCAAGUCGAGCGGUAAGGCCCUUCGGGGUACGACGAGCGGCGAACGGGUGAGUAACACGUGGGUGACCUGCCUCUAGCUCUGGGAUAAGCCUGGGAAACGUGGGUCUAAUACCGGAUAUGACUCCACGGCGCAUGUUGUGGGGUGGAAAGCCUUGUGUGGCUAGAGAUGGGCCCGCGGCCUAUCAGCUUGUUGGUGGGGUGAUGGCCUACCAAGGCGACGACGGGUAGCCGGCCUGAGAGGGCGACCGGCCACACUGGGACUGAGACACGGCCCAGACUCCUGGCGGGAGGCAGCAGGUGGGGAAUCUUGCGCAAUGGGCGAAAGCCUGACGCAGCGACGCCGCGUGA
rnacentral:rRNA from 1 species